ACAAAUAUAUAUAUAUAUAAUAAAUAAUAUAUAUAAUAAAUAUAUAAUACUUUAUAUACUAUAGACAUAAAUAUAGGCCUGAAAAGGCAAAUGUGGACAUUUUCUUUUGUCAUAUCUGCAAAAGUUAGACAUAAAGAAAAAGAAAUCUUUCAAGCUUGUGAAUUAAAAGGUAUGUUUUAAGCCUGACUUCAAUUGCUAAAGUAUCUUCUAGUAUGUCUUUUAUCAUCCUACUGUUUCAUAUUCUACACAUACAAGCAACCUUUCUCAUUCAGGAUGUGACCAGCAAAUGCAUUGGCGUUGCUGGUAAUGGCUCUGAAAUGUAAGUACAGUUGGAGGACUUAAUAAAAAACCCCGAGGUGUUAGAUUGAAAUGUUCAGGUUCAAACCCCAUAACUUUCUUUCAUUGUUCUUGUUGCUGAGUGUAUCUUCUUGUAUGGCUACAAGCAUAUGCGACUAAGACUUUGUUCUCAGACAGAAUCUCUUUGUGAAUGAUACUCAGUUCUUAUAAACCUUUUGAUUUGGAGUGGUGAAAAAUGACCUGUGGUAUAGCUGUGCCCAUGUAAGCUUCUCCAGGCUGUCUACAGCUCCUGGACUUGGUCUGCAGGUUCAGGCCACUACUGACCUCAAAUGACUUUGAACCAGCCUGUUGACAACAAAAAAGUUAGAGUUCCACUGCAAGUCCUCUGAGUAGCAAAUACUCCUGCUCUGGCUUCAGGACAAGCUGUGUCUUGUGUCUCUGGAGUACAUGAUGUAUUGGUUUGCACACAUAGGUGUCAGAGCCCUCUCCUGAAAGAAAAUAGCUCCUCUAUAGGACCUCACAGACAUGUAGGGCUCUGUGGUAACCUUCUGGUGACCUUUUGUUUCUAAACAAGCGGUUUUGUGCAUGAAUUCAUUGACUUUUUUUAGAGAAGCAUAUACAAGUCUGAUGAUUUGCAAUUUCUUUUAUUAGAAUUGUACUAACUAUGGCAGAAUGACCAGAACUAAAAGAGAUACAGUUCCAUUCCCCAGUCACAUGGUCUCAUGGUCCCAUUAAGUGAAAGCUAGGAGACAAGAGGGAAGCAACUCCAAAUAAAAGGAAAGUUCUUACAACUGAAACCUUAGUCCUUGGAGGAGCACUGAUGGCAGUUUUAAUCAUGGCUGGAAUCUUUGGAAAACUUUUCUUUCACCUAAAAAGACAAUCUCCUUUUCUGCCAGCACAGCAGACAAUAACAUAUUUUCACAAUUUGGAAAUAGCUUAAUGAUCGGCUGAUUUCUCUGUAAUGUCUUCCAGAAUUCAGUCUAAAUUAUCAUGAGAGAGAAUCACAAGAAGAUCUAAUUAAGCCUUGUUUUGCAGAAACUUAUGGUUUUUAUUUUCACAUAGUUGAAGGUGUCAGAGAACUGUUUCAAUAUUUUGUUUACUUUCUGACCUGUGUAGUUUACUAAGAAUAGCUGAAAUAUAAACAGUGUAAUUUAUACUACACACUAUAAACAGUGUAAUUUAAUAAUAAUCAUACAGUGAUUUUUGUUUAACCUAUGAAAAAGUACUCCAAACACAACCAUCAUCUGAAAGUUUUCACUUUUGUCUUGAACAAAAAAAAAAGAUUUCCAUGCAACAGCAGAGGAUUUUUCCACUCUGAAAAAGCACUGAUCCUUUCUAUCUUGCUUGUUCAUAAGUCUACAGCCAACAAAAGGAGUCCAGUCUGAUGUGAUUAAAACUAAACCGACUUGAAGGUAUUUAUAGCCCAGUACCUGGGCCAGAGUACCAAACAUUCCCACCAAACACACGCGGUACCCACCCACCACAGCUUCCCUGGCUGUAACCAGGCGGGUAAUUAUGCUGAAAUCGAGACAUCUGACCGGAUGAGAGUUUAGACUAUCCUACCAAAAAAAACCCUUCCCAUAUUGAAGAUGGAAUAAUGCAAAACAACUCCAAACCCCCAAAUUCACAAGAGCUUCUCUAGCUCAUUCUCUUAUAAUCCAUAUGCCGGAAGAUCUAAAAGUGUAACUUUUACUGUUGUGAAAUCUUUUCAAAAGAGAACCUGAAUUCCUAUGACACUUCAAGUUUAUAGGUUUUUUAAUGAUAGAAGGGCUGCCUUGUUAAAGAGAAGAGGCUUUGCUUGGAAAUGCAUAAUCACAAAGGUAUUAAAGUAAAUAUCAAAUCUCUUGAUGGGCCUAAGCUGAAAAUACAAACCCAGGAGGUAGAAAAAACUUCUUUUGAGGUCUCUGUUGUUUGGAAACAUUCUGCUCUCAAAGCUGUGCAGUGCAAAUUACAUAGAGGCUUUGUGGGCAGAUCUCAGCUGUUUAUUUUUACACACUGCUAAAUAUGAAUGUUCAAGCAUCAGUAGAUCUACUUGCAAAUGCAUUUUGGAAACAAUCUUUUUUUUUCUUUCCCUUUUUUUUUCUUUUCUUUUUUUUUCCUGUAACUCCAUUUAGAAAGAACUUCCAGAGACAAAUAGUUGUCAGUGAAAAACAACUGUGAUUUGUUAGGAUUUGAAACUAGAAAGUGCUUAAAUUAUUCACCUUGAUUAGAAAGUGUGUCAGCAAACAGAUCACUCUUUUUAUAACCUCGGGAACAAAUCUGGUUUAUUUCAUGUACCGUUGGCAGCUUACAGGAGACUGUCUGCACACCUCAGCAACUGCCUUGGCAUUUGGUACAGGCUUUGCUUCAGCCUAGGGGAGAGAACUGAAUUACGCUGCUGCAAGAAUCGGCUUACACUUCCCUCUUCCGCUGACUUCAGCAACAGUGUCAUGUACAGACCAAUACCGAACCAGAUAUACAGAUAUUCAUUUUCCAUGCAUGAGUAACCAGAAUGAAGUUUCAUUCAUUUUGGACUUAAGCCAGAAGAAAAUAGCCUCUACAGUUGUUCACCCACUGAAUCCUCAAAGACCUUCUGGCUUGUAGGGCAGUGGUACUAAGCCAAAUUGUGUGAUUCUAACUAACUUGCCCUAUUACCUCAAAUUGCAGCUCAUGAGAACAACGAUGGUCAUCAAGUAUGGCAGAAAGAGAUAGCUCAAGGACAGUGAGAAGGCCUAUGCACUAAAGCAUGAGAGAAGUAGGAGACUCUUCCUUGAAUGACCAGAUUCUGAAUGUCCAAACCUGUAACAGCCGCUUCGUUUAUUUACUCCCCACUAAAGCUGUGUUAAAACCCAAGAGAUUUCAACAAUCUUCCACGUUGGCUGGCUCUUAAGCAUAAGUCUAUGUGCAUGACGUGGGAAUAUACAGCCUGGAAGCUGGGAGAAGGCAAACAAGGUGUUUAACUGGAAGCUUGAGGCAAAAGUAAAGCUACUUCUUGUGAGUUACCAAACUAAUAUAUCUGUAUUUUCUGUGUAUGCUUUCAUUAGUAUUAUUUUAUUA